GCCUGGCUGGCUCAGUUGGUAGAGCAUGGGACUCUUGAUCUCAGGGUUGUGAGUUCAGUCCUCCUGCUGAGCC
rnacentral:tRNA from 1 species